rnacentral:lncRNA from 10 species
AGCAUCUGAAGGGAAGGCAGGCCAGAGAUUAAAACCCCCAUUUUACAGGAGUUUCUGUGUGACCAGAAGUACAGUGAUGAAGAGAACCUUCCAGAAAAGCUCACAGCCUUCAAAGAGAAGUACAUGGAGUUUGACCUGAACAAUGAAGGCGAGAUUGACCUGAUGUCUUUAAAGAGGAUGAUGGAGAAGCUUGGUGUCCCCAAGACCCACCUGGAGAUGAAGAAGAUGAUCUCAGAGGUGACAGGAGGGGUCAGUGACACUAUAUCCUACCGAGACUUUGUGAACAUGAUGCUGGGGAAACGGUCGGCUGUCCUCAAGUUAGUCAUGAUGUUUGAAGGAAAAGCCAACGAGAGCAGCCCCAAGCCAGUUGGCCCCCCUCCAGAGAGAGACAUUGCUAGCCUGCCCUGAGGACCCCGCCUGGACUCCCCAGCCUUCCCACCCCAUACCUCCCUCCCGAUCUUGCUGCCCUUCUUGACACACUGUGAUCUCUCUCUCUCUCAUUUGUUUGGUCAUUGAGGGUUUGUUUGUGUUUUCAUCAAUGUCUUUGUAAAGCACAAAUUAUCUGCCUUAAAGGGGCUCUGGGUCGGGGAAUCCUGAGCCUUGGGUCCCCUCCCUCUCUUCUUCCCUCCUUCCCCGCUCCCUGUGCAGAAGGGCUGACAUCAAACCAAAAACUAGAGGGGGCAGGGCCAGGGCAGGGAGGCUUCCAGCCUGUGUUCCCCUCACUUGGAGGAACCAGCACUCUCCAUCCUUUCAGAAAGUCUCCAAGCCAAGUUCAGGCUCACUGACCUGGCUCUGACGAGGACCCCAGGCCACUCUGAGAAGACCUUGGAGUAGGGACAAGGCUGCAGGGCCUCUUUCGGGUUUCCUUGGACAGUGCCAUGGCUCCAGUGCUCUGGUGUCACCCAGGACACAGCCACUCGGGGCCCCGCUGCCCCAGCUGAUCCCCACUCAUUCCACACCUCUUCUCAUCCUCAGUGAUGUGAAGGUGGGAAGGAAAGGAGCUUGGCAUUGGGAGCCCUUCAAGAAGGUACCAGAAGGAACCCUCCAGUCCUGCUCUCUGGCCACACCUGUGCAGGCAGCUGAGAGGCAGCGUGCAGCCCUACUGUCCCUUACUGGGGCAGCAGAGGGCUUCGGAGGCAGAAGUGAGGCCUGGGGUUUUGGGGGAAAGGUCAGCUCAGUGCUGUUCCACCUUUUAGGGAGGUUACUGAGGGGACCAGGAUGGGAGAAUGAGGAGUAAAAUGCUCACGGCAAAGUCAGCAGCACUGGUAAGCCAAGACUGAGAAAUACAAGGUUGCUUGUCUGACCCCAAUCUGCUUGAAACCUGACUCUGCUUCUCUCAUUUGUCUUCCUACCCUACUCACAUAAUUCACUCAUUGACUCACUCAUUCACCAGAUAUUUAUUGACCUGCUAUUAUAAGCUUUACAUCCUCCCAUGUUGUCCUGGCAUGUGCAGUAUACACGGUCUAACUCAUCUCUCCCCAGAUCUCUCAGAACCUUGAGCUUGGGAAUUGAACUGGGGUCACCUGUGUCCUUUCUUAUGGACUCGCAGGAUUUUAGAACCCUAAUGCACCCUGGAGGGUAGCUGGGCCAGACUUCUCAUUUCACAGGUGAGGAGACUGGUGCCCCACAGGGAUUAAGUGCCUUGCCCAAGGUCAGGCUUAUCUCCAGAGGGAGGUGCCCUGGACUGGGGCCCAGAUGUUCAGGGACCCUGCCUACACCUCAUUUCCAGUGUGGGCUGCCUUAGUUAGUUAUGAGAACAGGGAAGGGCUGGGAAGAGACAGCCUCCAAGGUCAACACUUGGAGAGGGUUUCACUUGCUCUGAAGACCCUGGUCCAGGAUUCGCCCUCUCCCAUGCCUUCAAGUCAGCAUCAGGCUUAGGGCAAAGACCAGGCCUCUGAAGCUGCCUCUUGUAAUUCAUGCAGGAAGAUGUCAAAGUCAGCCCCAUCUUGGCUGAUCAGGGUGUUCAGCCUUAACCCCACCUGUGUUCUGAAGUCUCUUACCCUACCUGCUCAGGACUGAGACAGUUAUUCACUGAACAUAUUUAUUAAGCACUUGCUGUAGGCCAACAGUUAAGAAUCCAAUAAUGAAAUGGACAGAUUCAUGGAACUUAGAGUCCAAUAGGAAAGUGAGACCCAGACAAUGACAAUGAGAUAAAUGUUAGGAAGGGGGAGGUAUGGGGUGACUUCCCUGCAGUCCUGGGGGCCUAGAUGGGCCCAAGACUGGGUGAGAGUCUUGGCAGAGCCUUUGCAACACCUUAAGUGGACAGGACUGGGAGGUCUUGGUGGUUGGAGCCAACGUGGGUUCCCUGCGGCUCCUUAGUCACCUCUGAUAGCAGAUUGAGGGAGGAAAACAGGUAAGGCAUGAGGAAAUGGCCAGGUUGGGUUAACCCACUGGUUUCAACCAGUUCAGGAAUGAGGUUAUUUGGCCAUGACUGGCUGAUCUUGAGCUCAAGGAUCUGCUUCAAAUGCACACAGGCCUAGUUGAAGUUUAAACCCCAGCAAAACAUUCCUCCCUGUAAAUGGAAAAUCCUACUUCUACCCCCACCCUGCCCUGUUUUUUGUUUUUUUUUUCCCCAAGAUCAUUAGAUGUCCUCACCCCUCCUCACUGCCUCUCCUCUCUGGGACAGGCUGGGACCUUUGAGGAAGAUAAAGCCUUCCUUCACUACCCAUCAUAUUCAGUGUCCCUGUUCCUCACUCAGAGAGGAAGGCAGAACCAGUCAGGCUUAUUUCAGUAAGUUCCACAGUUCUACAAGACUGCAGGAAUUCUCCUUAAGGGAGGAGAGCAAGCAGGUGUGGCCCCAGCUUCUGGAAAUGGCAGAAGAGAGGGUUUUCUCAUUGAAUGGGGGUGGGGGCUCGUGUGUCCUGGGAAACCCCAUCAGUCCCUUCAUUUCUUGAGACUCAACUCCUGGGAGGAGAGGGUCUCAAGAGUUGUCCCUGGAAGGAGGGCGGGGGCAGUCUGCAUCUAUUUCAGGUUGUGGCUCUUGGUUCUAGGACUCUUACUUCUCUGGCUAAGGGCUCAGCUUCUUGGGACUUCAACCAUCUUCUUUCUGAAAGACCAAAUCUAAUGUAACCAGUAACGUGAGGACUGCCAAGUAUGGCUUUGUCCCUAUGACUCAGAGGAGGGUUUGUCGGGCAAAUUCAGGUGGAUGAAGUAUGUGUGUGCGUGUGCAUGGGAGUGUGCGUGGACUGGGAUAUCAUCUCUACAGCCUGCAAAUAAACCAGACAAACUUACCAACGUCUUGAUUGGUGUAUUUUGGGGCUGGUUCUGGGCUCAGCAAAUUGCGAACUAGCUAAUAUAGUAAGAGAUUAAAUGAGCAUGUCCUGUGCCUUUUGUCUGAGACAGCUGAAAUUCAC